AGGUCACCGCUAUUAGGAUACGAUUAAGCCAUGCGAGUCAAAGAAGCAAUUCUUGGCGCACCGCUCAGUAAUAUGUGGAUAAUCUACCCUUAGGUAUGGGAUAACCUUGGGAAACUGAGGAUAAACCCGUAUAGACAUAGAAUGCUGGAAUGCUUCUAUGUUAAAAGGCAACGCCUAAGGAUGAGUCUGCACCCUAUUAGGCUGUAGCAAGUGUAAUGCACUUGUUAACCUACGAUGGGUACGGGUCUUGAGAGAGAUUGCCCGGAGAUGGACUCUGAGACAUGAGUCCAGGUCCUACGGGGCGCAGCAGGCGCGAAAACUUCACAAUGUGCGCAAGCACGAUGAGGGAAUCCUAAGUGCCUAUGCUUUGCAUAGGCUGUUCCACUGUCUAGGGAGGGGGAGGAAGUAAGGGCUGGGUAAGACGGGUGCCAGCCGCCGCGGUAAUACCCGCAGCCCAAGUGGUGAUCGUUAUUAUUGGGUCUAAAACGUCCGUAGCUGGUCUGAUAAAUUCCUGGGUAAAUCGAAUUGCUUAACAAUUCGAAUUCUGGGGAGACUGCCAGACUUGGGACCGGGAGAGGUCAGAAGUACUUUUGGGGUAGGGGUAAAAUCCUGUAAUCCUAAAAGGACUAUCAGUGGCGAAGNCGUCUGACUAGAACGGAUCCGACAGUAAGGGACGAAGNCCUGGGGCGCAAACGGGAUUAGAUACCCCGGUAGUCCAGGGUGUAAACGCUGUAGNCUUGGUGUUGGAUGUCCUACAUGGGCAUCCAGUGCNGGAGAGNAGNUGUUAAGNCUACUACCUNNGGAGUACGGUCGCAAGACUGAAACUUAAAGGAAUUGGCGGGGGAGCACUGCAACGGGUGGAGCGUGCGGUUUAAUUGGAUUCAACGCCGGAAAACUCACCGGGAGCGACGGUUAUAUGAAGGCCAAGCUGAUGACUUUGCCUAAUUUUCCGAGAGGUGGUGCAUGGCCGUCGUCAGUUCGUACCGUAAGGCUUUCUGUUAAGUCAGAUAACGAACGAGACCCUUACCCUUAGUUACUAAUGGUUUUUCCGAAAAUCAAGGACUCUAAAGGGACCGCUGGCGCUAAGUCAGAGGAAGGGAGGGGCCACGGUAGGUCAGUACGCCCCGAAUCUCCCGGGCUACACGCGCGCUACAAAGGCUGGGACAAUGGGCUACAACCUCGAAAGAGGAAGUUAAUCCCGAAACCCAGUCAUAGUUCGGAUUGAGGGCUGCAACUCGUCCUCAUGAAGCUGGAAUCCGUAGUAAUCGCCUGUCAACGUCAGGCGGUGAAUAUGCCCCUGCUCCUUGCACACACCGCCCGUCAAACCAUCUGAGUUGGGGUUGAGUGAGGGUAAAGUUUUUGCUUUGCUCGAACUCGACUUCAGCAAGGAGGGUU
rnacentral:rRNA from 1 species